UACAGAGGGUGCAAGCGUUGUUCGAAAUCAUUGGGCGUAAAGCGCACGUAGGCGGUGCGGUCAGUCUGAUGUGAAAUCCCCCGGCUCAACCGGGGAGGGUCAUUGGAUACUGCCGUGCUCGAGUACCGGAGAGGAUGAUGGAAUUCCUGGUGUAGAGGUGAAAUUCGUUGAUAUCAGGAGGAACACCUGAGGCGAAAGCGGUCAUCUGGAAGGUUACUGACGCUGAGGUGCGAAGGUAUGGGGAGCAAACAGG
rnacentral:rRNA from 1 species